CCUGCGGCUCCUCCCGGGGGAGGAAGGUGAUGGCAUUUGACUGAGGCGGAGCUGGCCUAAAUUGGGGAAAGAAGAAGAUUCCAGGCACCCAUUUCCCAGUCUGGGCCUGGAAGCUGGUGUCUUCCCUCUGCAGUCUGACGGAAAGAAUAUCCAGU